CUACGGGUGGCUGCAGUGAGGAAUAUUGCACAAUGGGGGGAACCCUGAUGCAGCAACGCCGCGUGGAGGAUGACGCAUUUCGGUGUGUAAACUCCUUUUAUAUGUCAAGAAAAUGACGGUAGCAUAUGAAUAAGCGCCGGCUAACUCCGUGCCAGCGGCCGCGGUAAUACGAAGGGCGCAAGCGUUACUCGGAAUCACUGGGCGUAAAGGACGCGUAGGCGGGUUGAAAAGUCAGGUGUGAAAGCCUACAGCUUAACUGUAGAACUGCACUUGAAACUCUCAAUCUAGAGUAUGGGAGGGGCAGAUGGAAUUAGUGGUGUAGGGGUAAAAUCCGUAGAUAUCACUAGGAAUACCUAAAGCGAAGGCGAUCUGCUGGAACAUUACUGACGCUAAGGCGUGAAAGCGUGGGGAGCAAACAGGAUUAGAUACCCUGGUAGUC
rnacentral:rRNA from 1 species